rnacentral:ncRNA from 1 species
CAAUUGGAGAGUUUGAUCCUGGCUCAGAUUGAACGCUGGCGGCAUGCCUAACACAUGCAAGUCGCACGCGAAAGAGGGGCAACCCUUGAGUAGAGUGGCGGACGGGUGAGUAACGCGUAGGAAUCUACCUGGUAGUGGGGGACAACCCGGUGAAAACCGGGCUAAUACCGCAUACGAUCCACGGAUGAAAGCAGGGGACCGCAAGGCCUUGCGCUAUCAGAUUAGCCUGCGUCGGAUUAGCUAGUUGGUGAGGUAAUGGCUCACCAAGGCAACGAUCCGUAACUGGUUUGAGAGAACGACCAGUCACACUGGGACUGAGACACGGCCCAGACUCCUACGGGAGGCAGCAGUGGGGAAUAUUGGACAAUGGGGGCAACCCUGAUCCAGCAAUGCCG